UACAGGGGGGGCGAGCGUUGUUCGGAAUUACUGGGCGUAAAGGGUUUGUAGGUGGCUUGCUCAGUCAGACGUGAAAUCCCUCAGCUUAACUGGGGAACUGCGUCUGAUACUAGCGAGCUUGAGUGCAGGAGAGGAACGCGGAAUUCCAGGUGUAGCGGUGAAAUGCGUAGAUAUCUGGAGGAACACCGGUGGCGAAGGGCGGGCGUUCUGGACUGCAACUGACACUGAAAAACGAAAGCCAGGGGAAGCAA
rnacentral:rRNA from 1 species